UAUAAAACUUUAUAGGCUUUCAAGGGCCUAAUAAAAACAUUCUUUUACAUACAUGGAGUAAUAUGAAAAAACAUAGGCCUGAAAAUGUAAGGAAAGUUUGGCACAGUCCUCUAAAACCCAAGUUGCCUUGGAGAGUUAUUCAAGUCUACAAAAAUGUGCACAGGUGGAAAUAUAAAGAUGACAGGUUUGAGCACAAUGUCCCCAAAGGAACCAGCUACAAAAAAAACCCAUCAGGUUUAUUCAAUAAUGAUCCUUCCGCAGGUUCACCUACGGAAA
rnacentral:misc_RNA from 1 species